rnacentral:rRNA from 1 species
UUUCCUACGGGAGGCAGCAGUCGGGAAUAUUGCGCAAUGGAGGAAACUCUGACGCAGUGACGCCGCGUGCAGGAAGAAGGUUUUCGGAUUGUAAACUGCUUUAGACAGGGAAGAAAAAAGACAGUACCUGUAGAAUAAGCUCCGGCUAACUACGUGCCAGCAGCCGCGGUAAUACGUAGGGAGCAAGCGUUAUCCGGAUUUAUUGGGUUUAAAGGGUGCGCAGGCGGCACGGCAAGCCGGCGGUCAAAUCGCGGGGCUCAACCCCGCCCAGCCGCCGGAACUGCCGGGCUAGAGUGGGCGAGAAG